CCCCUGGUUGUUGGGCCGAUACC
rnacentral:miRNA from 1 species